rnacentral:rRNA from 1 species
AGAGUUUGAUCCUGGCUCAGAUUGAACGCUGGCGGCAGGCUUAACACAUGCAAGUCCCUACGGUAACAGAGGGAAGCUUGCUUCUCUGCUGACGAGUGGCGGACGGGUGAGUUAUGUCUGGGAAGCUGCCUGCUUGAGGGGCAUAGCGGAGCGAAAGUUCCGAUAAUACCGCGUAAGCCCGAGAGGGGAAAGUGCGGGACCGCAAGGCCGCACGCGAGCAGAUGCGCCCAGAUGGGAUUAGGCAGUUGGGGAGGUAAUGGCUCACCAAACCGAUGAUCUCUAGCUGGUUUGAGAGGGCAAUCAGCCACAUUGGAAUUGAGAAACGGACCAAACUCUACGGGAGGCAGCAGUGGGGAAUAUUGCACAAUGGGGGAAACCCUGAUGCAGCCAUGCCGCGUGUGUGAAGAAGGCUUCGGGUUGUAAAGCACUUUUGCAUUCGAGGAAGACAGCGUAUAAAUAAAUGCGCUAUUUGACGUUAGAGUGUGAAUAAGCACCGGCAAACUCCGUGCCAGCAGCCGCGGUAAUACGGAGGGUGCGAGCGUUAAUCGGAAUGACUGGGCGUAAAGGGCACGCAGGUGGCGAGAUAAGUUGGAUGUGAAAUUCCCGUGCUUAACAUGGGGACUGCAUCCAAAACUGUUGAACUGGAGUACUGUAGAGGGAGGUAGAAUUCCACGUGUAGCGGUGAAAUGCGUAGAGAUGUGGAAGAAUACCAGAGGCGAAGGCGGCCUCCUGGACAGAUACUGACACUGAGGUGCGAAAGCGUGGGUAGCAAACAGGAUUAGAUACCCUGGUAGUCCGCGCCGUAAACGAUGUUAACUUGAAAUAUGUGUACUACGGUAUGUGUGUUUCGCAGCAAACGCCAUAAGUUAACCGCCUGGGGAGUACGAUCGCAAGGUUCAAACUCAAAUGAAUUGACGGGGGCCGCACAAGCGGUGGAGCAUGUGGUUUAAUUCGAUGCAACGCGAAGAACCUUACCUGGCCUUGAGAUACCGGGAAUCCUGCAGAGAUGCGGGAGUGCUUCGGGAACCCGGAUACAGGUGCUGCAUGGNUGUCGUCAGCUC